UUUCCGUAGGUGAACCUGCGGAAGGAUCAUUACAGAGUUCAUGCCCUCACGGGUAGAUCUCCCACCCUUGAAUAUUUAUACCUUAGUUGCUUUGGCAGGCCGUGGAAACACCAUGGGCUCCGGCUUAUGCGUGCCUGCCAGAGGAAACAAACUCUGGUUUUAGUGAUGUCUGAGUACUAUAUAAUAGUUAAAACUUCCAACAACGGAUCUCUUGGUUCUG
rnacentral:misc_RNA from 1 species